rnacentral:rRNA from 1 species
UACGUAGGGUGCGAGCGUUGUCCGGAAUUACUGGGCGUAAAGAGCUCGUAGGUGGUUUGUCACGUUGUUCGUGAAAACUCACAGCUUAACUGUGGGCGUGCGGGCGAUACGGGCAGACUAGAGUACUGCAGGGGAGACUGGAAUUCCUGGUGUAGCGGUUGAAUGCGCAGAUAUCAGGAGGAACACCGGUGGCGAAGGCGGGUCUCUGGGCAGUAACUGACGCUGAGGAGCGAAAGCGUGGGGAGCGAACAGG